GGCUUGCUGUGGACUGAUGUAAUGUACGUGUGUAUCGAUAGCUCCAGCGGUUGCUAUUAGUCCCUCACCCGAUAUAACCUCGGUGAUAGUUCCUACUAUCAACCCAGGAGUAACACCCGGCUGCACGUGUGGAUUGCCGGCUUUUCCUACACCUUUUAUUUUGCCAUCUUUGAUACCUAUAUCGGCUUUAUAGAUUCCCUUGUAAUCUAUAACCAAAGCAUUGGUAAUCACCAAGUCGAGCACUUCUUCAUCUUUAAAUCCCGAAGCUUGUCCCAUCCCGUCGCG
rnacentral:sRNA from 1 species